GAGCGGUAACAGGCGUAGCAAUACGUGCUGACGAGCGGCGAACGGGUGAGUAACGCUUCGGAAUCUGCCCAAUGGUGGGGAAUAACCAGCCGAAAGGUUGGCUAAUACCGCAUGAGCCCUACGGGGGAAAGCGGGGGAUCGCAAGACCUCGCGCCGAUGGAUGAGCCGAAGCCGGAUUAGCUAGUUGGUAGGGUAACGGCCUACCAAGGCGACGAUCCGUAGCUGGUCUGAGAGGACGACCAGCCACACUGGGACUGAGACACGGCCCAGACUCCUACGGGAGGCAGCAGUGGGGAAUAUUGGACAAUGGGGGAAACCCUGAUCCAGCGACGCCGCGUGUGUGAAGAAGGCCUGCGGGUUGUAAAGCACUUUUAGUGGGGAUGAAAAGCUCANGGGCUAACACCUAUGGGUAUUGACCUAACCCACAGAAAAAGCACCGGCUAACUCUGUG
rnacentral:rRNA from 1 species